CAUACCUGUUCAACAGUGCAUUUUUAAUAAUAUGCCCUGUAACUGCUCCUAAGUCCUACAAAUUAAACAUUUGUACAUUAUUUAUUUGAAAUAUAAAAAGUUAAUUGCGGGUAAGCACAAAAGCAAUCAUGCACUAAAACCCAGUAAAAAAAACAGGAAAUUCUCAAUUUUGCACAUAGGAUUAGUGUAAGGUUUAACCCAUGUAGGGAAAAACUGACCUUCAUUAACACGUCGAGCAAAUUCUGCGCCAAACAGAAAACCGAUUGUAAAAUUGCGAAAUGUGAGGAUAGGUUAACGUUUGUGACAGAAGCAGUGUGAUUUCUGAAUUAAACCUUAACUCAUAUCGAAAGUAAACGCAAUUUCAUUUCCUCCUUCAUCAAUCUGCUGCAGUCAUGUCACUGACAUGUAAUCAGUGUUCAAUCAAGGCAUUGAGGUUGUAAUUAAGGAAAAGUACAGGGGUAUAACAAUGUACAAUUGUCCUUGUAGGGGGGGGGGUGCAAUGGUUUUUAUCCUGAACUCUUACAAAAGCAAAUAAGUAAAGGUUUUUGCUUUUCAGUGUUGGACACUGUAUAUGCAUUUCAAACUAUUCCCAGUGUUGAUUAUCUACCUUGCAUUGAAUCUUCUCCAUAUUUACGCUUCAACAUAUUUACACAAAUAAAACAAAAACACAGUUUCUAACUAGAAGUUUGGUUAUCCGAGAAUGGACUUGAUGCACUUCGCUGGCACAGCUGCUCUGAAUGUAUAGUUUAUGACGAUUAAAUGCAGUUUAUUUUUAAAUCUGUCUGCUUAUUCACAAAACAAACCACUUUUCUUCCUAAUGGGCGUGUGACCCGAAAAGGACACCGCAGAUUUACGUCAAAAAACAAAAACCAGGCCCUGGAUUUAAAAGUAAAAUCUUUAGUCUUCAUAUCUAGCAGUUCCAAUUUCCACAGAAACACCAGCAGGGGAGGAAGCAAGCUUAGUACUUCUGAUGAGCAAAUCUUCACAUUACCAUAAAAGACAGGGAUAAACCAGCUUUCUGGAUAAGAAAUAAGUAACUUAAAUAACAUACCCUGCCGAGUGGCCAGAGUUCAAAUGUUACAUCAAUGUUACCAAGAAAAUCUGCGCACCACCUAAGGACAAUUUUUCUAGGAUCUUCAUUCGGAUUAUGCAAAGCCCCUGCAUGUACUUCACACCUCAGUGGUAGCAGGAGCUUUCAAGAGAAACAACGAACACUCGCCUAAAUGAAUAGCAUCUGUGUCUUUGCUGUGAAAUGUAGAAAAAAACCCAAUAUAUUAAGUUGGAAAGCAUUCAAAAUUAAAUCAAUCAUAUAUAUUUGCUACACAAAUAGUCUGUCUUUAUAAUAGCAUGCACAUCAGCCCAUUCUAUUAUUUCAUUGCUUUUAUUUCAGAUCCCAUGCUAGCAAUUGCUACUAACUACCAAUUUCCUGGCAUUAAAUUCCUUUAAACUUUACCAUUUGCAGUCCUCCCAGCAUACAGGUGUUUCAGAGAUGGUAAAAGCAUGCAAUAUCGAUAUUUCCAUGUAAAGUUCAUUGAUUUUUCAGUGGCCAAAACGUAAAGCACGAUUGCGUGUCAUAUAAUUAAAGAUAAAUCUAAAGAAGGUUAGAAAUAUAUAGUUUAUUUUUCGCUGACACCCCGCCGCCAAAUUGCUGAAAUGCAAAACAAAAACAAAGCUUUAAUCAAAUGAAACUCUGCUCCGGCUCAGCUACUUAAGUGCAAAUGUGUCACGUCAUGUGUCGUGAUGUCAGAAAGAGAAUAAAAAUGCCACGCAACAACACGGGCAACACACAGCAGGAGACGCACUGUCGGCUUUCAUUUGCCUUUAUUUCUUCAACUGCUGCAUCACAGGUCUGAAGGAACAACGCGAUGGGUCUCAGCACCGCCACGUUUUUAUUGCUUUUGCCGAUAAUGUGCAGCAUUUUUGGAGGAGUUGAAAUGGCCGCAAACAACACCAACACCACCACCCAGUCUUCUGCUGCCACCACCAUCUCCACCAUCAAGCCAGGAGUCACCACUGUUAGCGGCGGCUCUUCCAACAUGCAGGGGGGCUCUCAAACAGGCUCGGGAUGGGGCUUGGCAUCAGGAUACAGCGCAACCACCAACGGUGCUCGAUCCACCUUCUUCCCUACCAUAAGUGGAAACGUCCUGCACCUUUUUACUCUGUCAGUCUUCUUCAUCAUGGCUUUGCUGAUGAAUUAGCGGACGCAGAAACCUGCUCUCUUUCAUGCCGACUCAGCAAUUAAUCAACGCUCCGUGACCCUCGGAUCCACUCAUAAGAAUCUAGUAGACCGGGUUGAUGGAUUUUUCCGCUUCUUUCUAAAUGAUUCAUACACUAAUAUUGUAUAGGCUAUAAAUAUAGAUAGAGAUCACCUAUUUUUCUGUAAGGGGAAAAUUAAGUUUUUUCUUUGACAUGCUGCUUGUAUUUAUAUGAUAUUAACACUUUUCGCACGCCGUAACUGUAAAACAUGCCGGCACCAGGAACCUACUGUUCUCUCGAAAACAAAACCAACCAAUAUUUCUUGUCUGCUUACGGGCUGUAAAAAAAAAAUCUAAAGAACUUUCUAUAGCGCAUUGUUAAAAAACAUUAACGGGUAAACAGCACUUAUAAAAGACUACUGCCAUGAUGUAAACUGAUGCAAUUGUUUGUAAAGUUGCUCACGAUUAAAAGCUUUCUGUACAAUUAUCCAAGUGAAAAUCUCCUUAUUUCCAAAAGAGUGUUAACACAUAUACCAAAGUUUAUAUUCUUAAUAUACAUUUACCAAACUUGAAAAGUUAAAGGUGUACAAAUAUGACUUUGUCUUGAAGAAAGUUAAAGUAGCUAAAACACCAGAAGGGGGCAGAAGAGCUCCAGCUAGAGGAGAAGGAAACAUCCUGCCCACUUCUCAUCCACAUAGCACAUGAUUUCUUUCCUUGCUUUUUGGAACAGAGCUAAUUCUUGUUUUGAUUUGAGUCUAAACAUAACUUUCUAGUUAAAUUCAAUCAAAUAAAAUGGUACAAAAAACACAAAAUUUUAACAAUGAAUGGCUGAAUGACUACAUUAAGGAUUUUUUAAGUACUCACAAACAAAAACACAAUGUGGGACACUUUUUAUGCAGAUAUUAAUAUAAAAACUGUUUUAAUGUAUAUAGCUAUUUUUUUUUUUUUUCGAUCAAUUUAACAACAAAAAAAAAUGACUCCAAUGAGCUUCAUGCACCCCUCCCCAUCUCCAAAAAACAAAACAAAACAAAAACAAAACUCUACUCAAAUGAAAGUGCCAACGUUCAAAGCAAAGUGUCUGACGUCCGAGUAAAGUGACGUCACUCUGGCUAUAAAGUGCUGGAAGGCAGAGCGCACACAACUGCAACCAGCACAUCUUUUGUAUUUCUUGUAAAAGGCUCGAACGAACAGCAAGAUGAGGCUCAGCGUGGUCUUCUUGGCCAUAAUGUGCAGCAUGGUGGGACUGUGCCUUUCAACUACAUCAUCUCCAUCCAGCUCCACCAGCAAUUCCCAAUCAAACUCAUACCAGUAUGGGUCCGGAACAGCUGCUGGUGGAUCCUAUGCACGUGCAACCACCACGAGCAUGGCGCCUCACUCUAUCUUCACCUCUUCAGGUGGAAACCUUCUGCUCUUUCUCUCCAUGUCCUUUGUCCUCUUCAUUCCACUGCUGAUGAAGUAGUGGCUUGGAUACAAUCCGUCUAUCUUUUACUCCAGCUCACAAAAUAAUGAAAUUCUCCAAGUCCAUCAGGUCACCAACUAAGUAUCGAAUAAGCAAGUUGGUGGAUGGAUCUUCUUUUUUUUU